UGUUUUAUGGUGUGCCCGCAGUAUGUGAAGAAAUAGAUUUUGUUUUGCAUUGUUACAAUGUUGAGCUUUGUCCAGCAGGGGGCAGGCAGCGUGGUGAUGGGCUCGCUCUGGAAUGUUCUUCAGUUGCUUGUGGUAUUUCUAUACAGCGAGAGGCGAACAUUCGACAGCAGCUCAUUUUGAUUUGUUUUAUUCUUUCAGAUAAGAAAUGGAGUAGAUACAUGCUUGUGUCAACGUCCCCUCACAAUGUCCUUCAAUGUCCCUCACACUAAACCUCAAGGAAAUAGCAAAGUGUUUUAACGACCAUCCUCUUUGCCACUACUACCAAAUUAUGGCCCGUCAUUGAACUUCUAAAAUUCUGUCAUCAGGAACUAAGGAUUAUUUCUUAGAGAGGAGACCAUAACAUAAACAAUACAAUAUAGUUAUUAAUAUUGCUUUUAUAUUAUAAUUAUAUAUUUUUGUUAUGAACCAUGUCUUUGUUUGACAUCACGUUGUCAGUAUGAUUGUACACAAUACUCUGUAUUUAUUAAA